rnacentral:rRNA from 1 species
AUUGAACGCUGGCGGCAGGCCUAACACAUGCAAGUCGAGCGGACGAAGGGAGCUUGUUCCUGUAUUCAGCGACGGACGGGUGAGUAAUUCCUACGAAUCUGCCCUGCAUAUGGGGCUAACGUAAGUUAACGAGCCCUAAUACCAUAUAGGACCAGAUAUAGAAACGGGUGGAUCUAUGGACCUCACCCUAUUAGAUGACCCUUGGCCGUAUUAGCUAGUUGGUUGGGUAACGGCUUACCAAGGCGACGAUCCGUAGCUGGUCUGAGAGGAUGAUCAGCCACACUGGAACUGAGACACGGUCCAGACUCCUACGGGAGGCAGCAGUAGGGAAUCUUCCGCAAUGGGCGAAAGCCUGACGCAGCAAUGCCGCGUGUGUGAUGAAGGUCUUCGGAUCGUAAAGCUCUGUUAGUUGGGAAGAACAAAUGUAUGAGUAUCUCUGCCCGUCUUGACGUUACCAACACAGUAAGCCCCGGCUAACUUCGUG